AGUGAACGCUGGCGGCGUGCUUAACACAUGCAAGUCGAACGAGAACGGAUUAUAGCUUGCUAUAAUUGUCAGCUAAGUGGCGCACGGGUGAGUAAUGUAUAGGUAAUAUGCCUCUUACUAAGGGAUAACAAAUGGAAACGUUUGCUAAUACCUUAUACUCCUUUUAAACAGAAGUUUAAAAGGGAAAGAUUUAUUGGUAAGAGAUUAGCCUGUAUUGUAUCAGUUAGUUGGUGGGGUAAUGGCUUACCAAGACUAUGACACAUAACUGGUUUGAGAGGAUGAUCAGUCACACUGGAACUGAGACACGGUCCAGACUCCUACGGGAGGCAGCAGUGGGGAAUAUUGCACAAUGGACGAAAGUCUGAUGCAGCAACGCCGCGUGGAGGAUGACACAUUUCGGUGCGUAAACUCCUUUUAUAUGAGAAGAUAAUGACGGUAUUAUAUGAAUAAGCACCGGCUAACUCCGUGCCAGCCGCCGCCGUAA
rnacentral:rRNA from 1 species